GGCGAGUGAAGCGGCAACAGCUCAAAUUUGAAAUCUGGCUCUAGGGUCCGAAUUGUAAUUUGUAGAGGAUGCUUUUGGCGAAGUGCCUUCCGAGUUCCCUGGAACGGGACGCCUUAGAGGGUGAGAGCCCCGUACGGUUGGACACCGAGCCUCUGUAAAGCUCCUUCGACGAGUCGAGUAGUUUGGGAAUGCUGCUCUAAAUGGGAGGUAAAUUUCUUCUAAAGCUAAAUACCGGCCAGAGACCGAUAGCGCACAAGUAGAGUGAUCGAAAGAUGAAAAGCACUUUGAAAAGAGGGUUAAAUAGCACGUGAAAUUGUUGAAAGGGAAGCGUUUACGGCCAGACCUUUUCCUGGCGGAUCAUCCUGUGUUCUCACCGGUGCACUCCGCUAGGUUUAGGCCAGCAUCGGCUUCUGUAGGGGGAUAAAAGCCCUGGGAAAGUAGCUCCCUCGGGAGUGUUAUAGCCCUAGGCAUAAUACCCUUACGGGGGCCGAGGACCGCGUUCUGCAAGGAUGCUGGCGUAAUGGUCGUCAACGACCCGUCUUGAAACACGGACCAAGGAGUCGAACAUUUGUGCGAGUGUUUGGGUGUUAAACCCUCACGCGUAAUGAAAGUGAACGGAGGUGAGAGCCCUUUACGGGGUGCAUCAUCGACCGAUCCUGAUGUCUUCGGAUGGAUUUGAGUAGGAGCAUUAAUGUUCGGACCCGAAAGAUGGUGAACUAUGCGUGGAUAGGGUGAAGCCAGAGGAAACUCUGGUGGAGGCUCGCAGCGGUUCUGACGUGCAAAUCGAUCGUCAAAUCUGCGCAUGGGGGCGAAAGACUUAUCGAACCAUCUAGUAGCUGGUUACC
rnacentral:rRNA from 1 species